GAUGAACGCUGGCGGCGUGCCUAAUACAUGCCAGUCGAGCGAACAGACGAGGAGCUUGCUCCUCUGAUGUUAGCGGCGGACGGGUGAGUAACACGUGGAUAACCUACCUAUAAGACUGGGAUAACUUCGGGAAACCGGAGCUAAUACCGGAUAACAUGUUGAACCGCAUGGUUCAACAGUGAAAGACGGUCUUGCUGUCACUUAUAGCUGGAUCCGCGCCGCAUUAGCUAGUUGGUAAGGUAACGGCUUACCAAGGCAACGAUGCGUAGCCGACCUGAGAGGGUGAUCAGCCACACUGGAACUGAGACACGGUCCAGACUCCUACGGGAGGCAGCAGUAGGGAAUCUUCCGCAAUGGGCGAAAGCCUGACGGAGCAACGCCGCGUGAGUGAAGAAGGUCUUCGGAUCGUAAAACUCUGUUAUUAGGGAAGAACAAAUGUGUAAGUAACUAUGCACGUCUUGACGGUACCUAAUCAGAAAGCCACGGCUAACUACGUG
rnacentral:rRNA from 1 species